rnacentral:rRNA from 1 species
UAAAAAUUAUAAUAUUAGGUAGUAAUGAAUAUUCUGAAACCUAAAGAAUUUGGCGGUAUUUUAAAUAAUUGGAGGAACCUGUUAUUUAAUUGAUAUUCCACAACAUAUCUUAUCUAAAUUUUGUUUGUAUAUCGUUGUUCAUGAUGAUAUUUUAAAAUUAUAAUCUAAAUUAAUUUUAUUUUUCACUUCAAAUCAAGGUGCAGCAUAUUUUGAUUAUAAUGGGUUACAAUAUAGUUUAUAUAUAACGAAUAAAUUAUGAAAAAUAAUUUGAAGGUGGAUUCAAAAGUAUUUUUAAAAUUAAGUUGUUUAAUUGAUUUAAAAUUUAAAAUAUGC